UACGUAGGGUGCAAGCGUUAAUCGGAAUUACUGGGCGUAAAGCGUGCGCAGGCGGUCUUGCAAGACAGAUGUGAAAUCCCCGGGCUUAACCUGGGAACUGCAUUUGUGACUGCAAGGCUGGAGUACGGUAGAGGGGGAUGGAAUUCCACGUGUAGCAGUGAAAUGCGUAGAGAUGUGGAGGAACACCGAUGGCGAAGGCAGCCUCCUGGGCCAGCACUGACGCUCAUGCACGAAAGCGUGGGGAGCAAACAGG
rnacentral:rRNA from 1 species